AACGAACGCUGGCGGCAGGCUUAACACAUGCAAGUCGAGCGCCUCGCAAGGGGAGCGGCAGACGGGUGAGUAACGCGUGGGAACGUACCCUUAUCUUCGGAAUAGCUCUGGGAAACUGGAAGUAAUACCGAAUGUGCCCUUAGGGGGAAAGAUUUAUCGGAUAAGGAUCGGCCCGCGUUGGAUUAGCUAGUUGGUGGGGUAAAGGCCUACCAAGGCGACGAUCCAUAGCUGGUCUGAGAGGAUGAUCAGCCACAUUGGGACUGAGACACGGCCCAAACUCCUACGGGAGGCAGCAGUGGGGAAUAUUGGACAAUGGGCGCAAGCCUGAUCCAGCCAUGCCGCGUGAGUGAUGAAGGCCUUAGGGUUGUAAAGCUCUUUCACCGGAGAAGAUAAUGACGGUAGCCGGAGAAGAAGCCCCGGCUAACUUCGUG
rnacentral:rRNA from 1 species